rnacentral:lncRNA from 1 species
GCGGCGGUCGCAGCGGUACUCACGGGCGAUGCAUUCGCCGCUGCCGCAGGAGAACUCCAGGGGGGUGCAGGGGCGCAGGUGGGGGGUCACGGCCCCUAGGCGCCGGAACUGGAAGCCGACGGGUGAGGUGACGAAGGAGGCGAUGGAGCCGGCCGUCACCACGCUGCGCAGCACGGCGCCGAUCUGCGCCUCAUCCCCAUUGCCCUCCGAGCCCACAUCCAACUCAACAAACACG